UGUAGCAGGUGAGCAAGAGAGAAGGGCCGUCUGCCCCGCUCCCAGCCCGAGUAGGCCGCAAGUGAGGAAGCCUUGAAUUGCCCAAAAAGGAGCCAAGAUUCCCAGUCCCAAGUGCAGGAAAAACAACAGCAGUUGGUUGGGCCUUUAGCCUUAGAUUCCUGUCACAUGAGGAGUGAAAAAAUGCCCUGUUAUUCAUGAUAAAAGGCUGCCCCCCUAUUGCCCUCCUUG